ACUGAACGCUGGCGGCAUGCCUUACACAUGCAAGUCGAACGGUAACAGGUCUUCGGAUGCUGACGAGUGGCGAACGGGUGAGUAAUACAUCGGAACGUGCCCAGACGUGGGGGAUAACGAGGCGAAAGCUUUGCUAAUACCGCAUACGAUCUAAGGAUGAAAGCAGGGGACCGCAAGGCCUUGCGCGUUUGGAGCGGCCGAUGGCAGAUUAGGUAGUAGGUGGGAUAAAAGCUUACCAAGCCGACGAUCUGUAGCUGUCUGAGCGGACGACCAGCCACACUGGGACUGAGACACGGCCCAGAGUCCGACGGGAGGCAGAAGUGGGGAAUUUUGGACAAUGGGCGAAAGCCUGAUCCAGCAAUGCCGCGUGCAGGAUGAAGGCCUUCGGGUUGUAAACUGCUUUUGUACGGAACGAAAAGGCCCUGGCUAAUACCUGGGGCACAUGACGGUACCGUAAGAAUAAGCACCGGCUAACUACGUGCCAGCCGCCGCGGUAAGAC
rnacentral:rRNA from 1 species